rnacentral:rRNA from 1 species
UACGUAGGGGGCGAGCGUUGUCCGGAGUUACUGGGCGUAAAGCGCACGCAGGCGGUGCUGCGCGUUUGGGGUUACAGCUCCCGGCUCAACCGGGAGAGCGCCUCGAAGACGGCAGCACUUGAGGGCCAGAGAGGGACACGGAACUCCGGGUGGAGUGGUGAAAUGCGUAGAUAUCCGGAGGAAUACCAAAGGCGAAGGCAGUGUCCUGGCUGGUGACUGACGCUGAGGGGCGAAAGCUAGGGGAGCGAACGGG